rnacentral:lncRNA from 1 species
GAUAAUAAAAUCUAAAGAAAUUGAAGAAAGCCUUUGAGAGGCCCAAAAACAAAACGCUCUCUCCUCUCUCUUCCACAACCCUAGCCGUAAACCUGCUCGAGGGGGAAGUACCUCCGCUGGCUUCGCCGGUGCGUGUGUGGCUUCUCCCUCCCCCCCUUUGUCUUUCUUUCUUGCAGAGCGUAGCGAUGGUGGGUGAUUGGCAUAACUGAGCUUCGGUGAUGGGCGAUUCUUCCUCCGACGGCGGUGGUGUGGUGUCUUUUUCACUGAUGUAGCGGCGGCUCCAAUCGGACGGCGGAGAGCUCCGCUGCGCAUGACCCUGGUUGAAGACGCUGGCGGUUGUAUCGGAGACUCUCCCUGGCUCAACCUUCCCUUUGGUUGUUGUGGCUACGGCGGAAGUCAGUGAAGACUCGGUGGGUUCGCUGUUCAGAUUCGGUGGUUCACGGUAGGUCCUUCGGUUCCUGCUGGCCCCUGCGGGUUUUGGUUCUGGUUUGUUUGCUUGAGCCAAGCAACUGCCGGAUCCGCCGUUUGUGGUUUCCACUUGUCCGGUUUGGUGUGUUUUGGCUCAGAGGACGUCGAGGCUUCUGGUUUGGUCGGAGGGGAUAGAUUCCCGGUUGUCGGAUUGCUAGGUUUGGGAUCUGACUUCUCGGAACCGGUUGUCGGGCAGUUGAGUAUUCCGGGAGGAGCGUAGCAGGUUGGUGAGUCGGCGGAUUGGUUUCAAUGGUGGGUUUCGAAUUCUCCCAUCGGAGUACCUCAUCCCCUCGACCUUGCCGCAACGUCGUGCUUCUCGAAUUCGCCGAUCCUAAUGCUCUGAUUCUCUGCCUCCGGUUAUACAGCAAGAUCCGAUCUUCUGACCUUCUUUCCGGCGAGUCUCCGAUUUCCUUCUUGGGUAGCCGAGUUCGUUUUUGUAAUCCGAAACCGGCCCGUUAAGGGCCCAGCCCAUUAAGGGGUUUUAUUAAUAAAUAAAAAAAAUAAAAAAAAAUAAAAAAAAAUGAAUACCUAAAAAGGGUAUUUGUAGAAAAGGGUAUCAUAAUAAAGGUUAGUUGUGUAAAUUUCCCAUUUAAAUAUCACAAACACUGAAAUUUAUUUGUUCUAUUUUUUAUAAAUAUAUUAACUAA